AUUAACAAAGGACGACAGUAGGCCUAGAAGACACGCACGGGGAUAGGUAAUCAUAUUAACAAAGGACGACAGUAGGCCUAGAAGACACGCACGGGGAUAGGUAAUCAUAUUAACAAAGGACGACAGUAGGCCUAGAAGACACGCACGGGGAUAGGUAAUCAUAUUAACAAAGGACGACAGUAGGCCUAGAAGACACGCACGGGGAUAGGUAAUCAUAUUAACAAAGGACGACAGUAGGCCUAGAAGACACGCACGGGGAUAGGUAAUCAUAUUAACAAAGGACGACAGUAGGCCUAGAAGACACGCACGGGGAUAGGUAAUCAUA